AGUGAACACUGGCGGUAGGCCUAACACAUGCAAGUCGAACGGCAGCACAGUAAGAGCUUGCUCUUACGGGUGGCGAGUGGCGGACGGGUGAGGAAUACAUCGGAAUCUACUUUUUCGUGGGGGAUAACGUAGGGAAACUUACGCUAAUACCGCAUACGACCUACGGGUGAAAGCAGGGGAUCUUCGGACCUUGCGCGAUUGAAUGAGCCGAUGUCGGAUUAGCAAGUUGGCGGGGUAAAGGCCCACCAAGGCGACGAUCCGUAGCUGGUCUGAGAGGAUGAUCAGCCACACUGGAACUGAGACACGGUCCAGACUCCUACGGGAGGCAGCAGUGGGGAAUAUUGGACAAUGGGCGCAAGCCUGAUCCAGCCAUACCGCGUGGGUGAAGAAGGCCUUCGGGUUGUAAAGCCCUUUUGUUGGGAAAGAAAAGCAGCAGGUUAAUACCCCGCUGUUCUGACGGUACCCAAAGAAUAAGCACCGGCUAACUUCGUG
rnacentral:rRNA from 1 species